UACGGAGGGGGCUAGCGUUGUUCGGAAUUACUGGGCGUAAAGCGCACGUAGGCGGCUUUGUAAGUUAGAGGUGAAAGCCCAGGGCUUAACCCUGGAAUUGCCUUUAAGACUGCAUCGCUAGAAUCGUGGAGAGGUGAGUGGAAUUCCGAGUGUAGAGGUGAAAUGCGUAGAUAUCAGGAGGAACACCUGUGGCGAAAGCGGCUCACUGGACCAUAACUGACGCUGAUGCACGAAAGCUAGGGGAGCAAACAGG
rnacentral:rRNA from 1 species